rnacentral:misc_RNA from 1 species
UUCUUAGCCGACUUCGACAUCCCAAUGUUCUUGCAGUUAUCUUAUUCUUGGGUGCUUGCGUGAAGCCCCCUCACUUGUCAAUGGUUACUGAAUAUAUGGAGAUGGGGUCUCUGUAUUAUAUGAUCCAUUUGAGCAGUCAGAAAAAGAGGCUUAGUUGGCGGAGGAGGCUAAAAAUGUUGCAUGAUAUAUGCAGGGGGUUGAUGUGCAUCCAUCGGAUGAAGAUAGUUCACCGUGACCUUAAAAGUGCAAACUGUCUUGUGAAUAAACAUUCGACUGUUAAGAUAUGUGAUUUUGGGCUCUCAAGAAUAAUGACGGAGACGCCUAUGAGAGACUCCUGUUCUGCAGGAACUCCAGAAUGGAUGGCUCCGGAACUUAUUCGCAAUGAACCCUUCACUGAAAAAUGUGAUAUUUUCAGCCU